AAAUAAACUAAUUACCUGAGACCAAAUUAAAUGAAUUUCUAAAAGCUAAACGAUGCCAACAUCAUUUUAUUCAUAUAUUUGUGCCAAGGAGAGAUGUUUCCAAGAUUAUGAAAGUUCAGGACUUGGGUAACAGCUCUUGAGUCAGUACUUUUUCCCUGGUAGAAAUGGCUUUGGUUUGGAGGCGACGAUCAUAACUGGAGGUCAAACUCUGGGAAGGCUUGCAGCUGCAGAUGGGCCGCAUACUCUGUGGUUGCCCUGAUCCACUGGGAUGUGUGAUAUGUAACUGUUAUCUCAAACACUGUAUUCACUGAUGUAAUGUUCAUGUGAGGAGCAGUCCCGUCACUGGAACUCUGGAUUCUCCAGCCCAUUUCAACAUGCCAGCUGGAUUUUGCCUGCCAUUUUUCAUCAUCGUGAGAUACCACGUGCUGGAGGCUGUGGAUCCAAGAUGAAGCUCAUGGCAGAUGUGGCUUCUCCUGAGGCCUCUCCUUGGCUUGCAGAUAUUACUCAUGCCAACAUACUACAGAGGGUAUCCUAGGGCCUCGGCAAGAUCUUGUGCAAGUUUAAAUGAAGCCCUGAAGCUUGAAGUUUAUUAGCCGUAUGGGGGAAGAGUAACAUUUCGGUAAAAGGUAAACAUAAAUCAGUUUAGGACAUCGAGGCAGCUGAGACAAACAGCUAAACACACUUAUAAAAGAGGACUUCCAGAGCUGCUUCAGAGAGUGGCAACAAUAAGGAAGAAUUGGAAAUCAGAGUGGAGUAUCGCUCAGUCUCCUUGGAAGCAGAAGUUCAAUUCCCAGGACCUAGCACUGGUGAUUGUCAUGUUGCUCACACACAGGCAAUGACAGUGACAUAGGGCAGCUCCCUAGCCACAAGCAAAGUCAGAGUGGGCAAGAUGUGAAAAAAUGUAGG
rnacentral:lncRNA from 1 species